rnacentral:rRNA from 1 species
GACGAACGCUGGCGGCGUGCUUAACACAUGCAAGUCGAGCGGUAAGGCCCUUUCGGGGGUACACGAGCGGCGAACGGGUGAGUAACACGUGGGUGACCUGCCCUCAGCUCUGGGACAAGCCUGGGAAACUGGGUCUAAUACUGGAUAUGACUCCACGGUGCAUGUCGUGGGGUGGAAAGCCUUGUGCGGCUGAGGAUGGGCCCGCGGCCUAUCAGCUUGUUGGUGGGGUGANGGCCUACCAAGGCGACGACGGGUAGCCGGCCUGAGAGGGCGACCGGCCACACUGGGACUGAGACACGGCCCAGACUCCUACGGGAGGCAGCAGUGGGGAAUCUUGCGCAAUGGGCGAAAGCCUGACGCAGCGACGCCGCGUGAGGGAUGACGGCCUGGUUGUAAC